rnacentral:rRNA from 1 species
CACGGGGGAUGCGAGCGUUAUCCGGAUUUAUUGGGUUUAAAGGGCGCGCAGGCGGUCAAGUAGGUCGGCGGUCAAAUCACGGCGCUCAACGUCGUGCCGCCGUCGAAACCCCCUGACUAGAGUCGGUUCGAGGUGGGCGGAACAGGUGAAGUAGCGGUGAAAUGCUUAGAUAUCACCUGGAACCCCGAUGGCGAAGGCAGCCCACCAGGCCCGAACUGACGCUGAGGCGCGAGAGCGUGGGUAGCGAACA